AAUACAUCAAUUAUGAAAUGAUUUGAAUUCAGUUAUAAAGCAGCUCUGCAGAAAACAGUGAUGUCAUCGUCCAGUUCAGUUCUCAUACAAUGGUGUCAGUACAUUCAGAUUAAUAAUAUUGUUGAAUCUUAAGUGUCCCCAACUAAGCAAGCCAGAGGCGACAGUGGCAAGGAACCCAAACUCCAUUGGGUGACAGAAAUGGAGAAAAAAAACCUUGGGAGAAACCAGGCUUAGUCGGGGGGCCAAUUCUCCUCUGGCCAACCAAAGAACACGAUCGUUUUCAUCAAGCUGGUAUGGAGCCGACGCUGGCCAUAGGGGUCUGUGCGGAGGACUUGUCUGGUUCUUGGGGUCUUUGCUGAGGAUCUGUGCUGAUGGCUGUCAUAUCAAC